GAGGGGGCCACUGAGGAGCGGCGUGAGAGCCCCGGGGGCGCCGCAGAGCCGCGGCCAGAGCCGGGCCAGAGCCUGAGCCUCAAGCCAGCGCUGGGUCGCGGCUGCGGCGCCUCUGGGGGAGCUGAGCGCUCGCUCGACAGGGCCAGGAAAGGGACGCGUCCUGCAGUCGGCCGGCGGUCGGCGUUGGCAUCAGGCCACUGGCCCCACAGCUGAAGAAGGACUGCAUGGGGACGGACGCCCCGGGGCAGCGCGAGAGGCUGGGGACCCGGGGCCCGCGGAGCCCUGGGAGCGCAUCACCACUGCUGCGGCGGCUGCUGCUGCUGCUGCUGCUGCUGCUGCUGGGGCUGGUGCCGGAGGGCGCAGCAGAGACUCCCUGGGGGCUGCCCUUGGUGGCUGAUGGCCCGGCUUCCAGGGCAAAGGUGGUGAUGGCAGAGCUGGCCCACCUGGAGUUGGAAAACAAGCCAUGGCCUAAAGGGACGCAUUCCCUCAUCUACCACUAUCUGGCCCUGUCAGAGCCAGGCCCCGGCCUCCCGCAGUUUCUGGCUGUAGGCUACGUGGACGACCAGCCCUUCAUCCAGUAUGACAGUCGUGUGGGCCAGGCCGAGCCCCAGGCCCCUUGGGCGGCAUCCAUGGAUGCCCAGUACUGGGAGACGGAGACCAAGAAGCAGAGGAUCUGGGCGGAGGUGCAGCAGGUGGAGAUGUGGACGGUGAUGGGCUACCACAAUCAGAGCAGCGGUAUGCACAGCACUCAGCGCAUGUUCGGCUGUGAGAUCCAGGAAGACGGCCGCUUCAGCAGCUUCUGGCAGUUUGGCUAUGAUGGGCAGGACCACCUGUCACUGGACCUGGAAUCUCUGAGCUGGGUGUCUGCCGUGCCUGUGGCCGUGCGGACCAAGCGCUGGUGGGAGACAGAGCGCUGCUAUGCCGAGUACGACAAGGCCUAUCUGGAAGGCGUCUGCCUCCCCUCCCUGCUCAGAUACCUGGAACUGGGGGGCCAGAGAUUCAGCAGGAGAGAGCCACCGACAGUGCGGGUGACACAGCACUCGGCCCAGGACGGGGGCACCACACUGAGGUGCUGGGCCCUGGGCUUCUAUCCACAAGACAUCUCGCUGACCUGGUGGCUGGAUGAGAAGCAGCUCAUCUCAAAGACUGAAUACGUGGACAUACGCCCCAGUGGGGACGGCACCUAUCAGACAUGGGUGGCCGUGCAGGUGCCAGCCGGAGAGGAGAGCCGGUACACUUGCCAUGUACAGCAUUCCAGCCUGAACCACACACUCACUGGGUCCUGGGAAUGGCCCUCCCAUCAUACGCAUUUUGCCAUAAUCAUCUCCCUCAUCCUGGUCGUGCUGGUGGCUGGCGUGAUCUUGACCAAGUGCCUUCAUGCCAGGAACAGGAAACAAGCCACAGGUGAUUGUGGGAUUGGCUGACUGGGGAGAGGGAGCCCCAGGUGUUCCCAAGCAUGACUGAGAUGCCUUAGAAUUAAGGAUGGCCAUGGGGUCGGUGCUCUCCCUGGCCUCAGCUCCCUGCCCCAUCCUUCCAUCCUGGAGCAAGGCAGAUGGGGUGGAGAGGACCCCCAUAAUUCCUAAAGCCCAGCAAAAAAGGGGCCACUUACCUCAUCUGCUGACAGAAGUUCACCGUCAGAGAUCAAGGAGACGUUUUGUAGGGUGUUUGGGGGCCUGAAGGCCCCCUGCACCAGUGAUCUGACUGUGAAGGGCCCACCCCGCCCCCAAAACUGAGCCCUCCUCACCCCCAUCAGCCCUGUUACAAGCAACCUGUGCCACAAAGAUGGUUUUGCCAUCUUCCUGAAGUCCUUUUAAAAUUCUAAUUAUUUCCUGUUGGAGGGGGUGGGGAAGAGGGCAGUAAUGAUUCCUCAGAUGGGUUUACACUUGACAAUUUGCGAAAUGAUUUCUUGUUGCUUGUAAAUCCCACUUGAGCCUUUCAGGCACCCUGUGAGUCUGGCAAUGUUACCCUCAUCCCCACUUCCCCAAUGUGAAAACCAAGGGUCUGAGCCUUCAAGGAAGAACCACAACAAUUGUCAGAGUUACGGGGGCAGGCAGCAUCCAUCUGCUUGCAUCAGGAAGAAUUGCCAAAUGCCCGCCUCUUUUAUAAGUGUGUUCUUGUAUGUACGUAUGUAUGUAUGUGAGAUCCCCUUUUGUAAAGACUAGAGUGUUGGGGGUAUGGGGGGGUGGGUGAGGGUGAGAGUGGGUGGGUAUAUAUGUACGUGAGGGUGAGCGGGUGUGUUAGGGUGGAGAUGUGUGUGUGUGUUUGAGGGUGAGGGGAUAUGUGGUGUGUGGAUGUCCUUGUGACUGAGGAGAAGCUCAGAGGGUCAGGUGCCCAGAAGCCGGUUAGUUAGUCCCAGGCAGCUGGAGGAUGGGAAGCAACACAAGCCUUAUUUUCCAUUAUUUCCUGUCCUUUUGAAUGGUCUGAAUUUUUACAAUAAGCAUACAUUACGUUUACAGUGAGGGAAAGACCCAUUUUCACUGUGUCCUGGGGGAAUGCUUGUGGAGGGUGAGUCUGGAGAAGGCCCUGCCUCCCCUUCACAUUUUCAGGGCAGCAGAAACCUCUUGUCUCUUCUGUGAACAGGGAUCUCCCUGGGACCACACACGUUUGUUGAUUCCACCAGCAGUUCGAGUCUCAUAGCCACGUGAUGUGCUCGGGACUGGGACGCCAGAGCCCUGGCAGGGAGAGGGAACACUCCACGGUCAUAAAGGACCCAAGGCCAGUCCCCUCCCAGGGCACCCUCUGCCUCCUCUUCAGCUGACCCAAAGAUGUGACAUGUCGCCUCCUAUGGGGACUUGGAAACCUCCAUGUCUGCAGCCCUGGGAGGCCCUGAGCUUGAGGAUGUGGACGGCUGUGAUACUAGAAAAAGAUUUAGCCUGUCCUGACGGCCUGCAGGACCUCAGCAGUGAGCUCAGAAUUAUCCGAGUGUACUGAAGAUCUGUCUUAAAUGUCUGAAUUUCUCAGUGAUGUCAACAUGUUCCACAUAUGCUGUCCUAACCCCUAGCAGGAUUCUAAGCACUUUUCUAUAUACUAAGCAGUUCAACCCUCACAGCACGCCUGUGCGGGGGAAUGAAUAAUCCUGUGCUACAGGUGAGGAAACUGAGGCCCAGGGUCCCACAGCUGGUUCACACCGGAGCUGGGGCGUGAGGCCAGGCAGUCUGGCUGCCGUCUGGGCACCUCACCACUGUACCAAAAGCCUCAGUGACAACCAUGCUGCUGUGUAAAUGGCCAAGUAAGUACAGGUCUGCAAUCCCUUAUCUGCAAUUCUGAAAUCAAAAAAAAAAAAAGAAAAGAAAAAAGCCUCCAGAAGCCAGAAGCUUCUUCCUAACUUUUUUUUUUUAACAAAACCUGACCUGGGGGAGGGGACAGAAAAAAAACCCCAAAGUGAAGUGAGGUUAUUCAUACACUUUUUUUUUAACUUUUUUUUUAUUGAUUUAUAAUCAUUUUACAAUGUGUCAAAUUCCAGUGUAGAGCACAAUUUUUCAGUUAUACAUGAACACAUAUAUAUUCAUUGUCACAUUUUUUUCUCUGUGAGCUACCACAUGAUCUUGUGUAUAUUUCCCUGUGCUGUACAGUAUAAUCUUGUUUAUCUGUUCUACAAUUUUGAAAUACCUGUCCAUCCCUUCCUCUAGUGUGCCUUUUUAAAAUUUUCCAUAGAAAUACUGGUUUGGGGGAUUACGGGGUGCCACCCCAGACUCCUCUGGUAGUGUUAUGUAAUAUUCAGCAUCCACACCUUGGUACCUUUCUAAAGUCCAAAGAAUUUGAAAUUCUGAAAUACACCUGUCCCUAAGGGUUUCGGGUAAGGGACUGUGGACCUGUAUUAAUAAGGUUUUGGGGUAAUAAACGUGUUUUGUUUUUA